rnacentral:rRNA from 1 species
GUCGCAUGAUCUUUAUGCCAAAGAUUUAUCGCUUCAAGAUGGCCUCGCGUCUGAUUAGCUAGUUGGCGGGGUAACGGCCCACCAAGGCGACGAUCAGUAGCCGGACUGAGAGGUUGAACGGCCACAUUGGGACUGAGAUACGGCCCAGACUCCUACGGGAGGCAGCAGUGGGGAAUAUUGGGCAAUGGGCGCAAGCCUGACCCAGCAACGCCGCGUGAAGGAAGAAGGCUUUCGGGUUGUAAACUUCUUUUAAGAGGGAAGAGCAGAAGACGGUACCUCUAGAAUAAGCCACGGCUAACUACGUGCCAGCAGCCGCGGUAAUACGUAGGUGGCAAGCGUUGUCCGGAUUUACUGGGUGUAAAGGGCGUGCAGCCGGGUCUGCAAGUCAGAUGUGAAAUCCAUGGGCUCAACCCAUGAACUGCAUUUGAAACUGUAGAUCUUGAGUGUCGGAGGGGCAAUCGGAAUUCCUAGUGUAGCGGUGAAAUGCGUAGAUAUUAGGAGGAACACCAGUGGCGAAGGCGGAUUGCUGGACGAUAACUGACGGUGAGGCGCGAAAGUGUGGGGAGCAAACAGGAUUAGAUACCCUGGUAGUCCACACUGUA